GGCAUUUAGGAAUUUCACCUCCCUCUCUCCUUUUUUUCCUUAGAGUUCUCAUGCAUCACCUGAUUCAAGUUCAACCCUUAAAAAAUACAUGCUUCACACAGGAGAUACAUGAUUAAUCAUUUACCUACCGAUUCAAGUUCAAACCUUAUGAAAUACAAGCUUCACACACGAGAUGCAUGGUUAAUCGUAGGACUUAAUGCACUUGUGUUAAGCCUAAUAUGUUGUACAUUAUAGAAAUUAGCAGUUUUCAACACUAGUCUAGACCCAAUAGUCAUCAUAUACAUGGGGAAACAGCAAGACCAAAAAUCUUGGGUAAGUUUACGUCGGAUGAGUUUGUUCAAAUAUCUGAUUUAGUUCAAUGAGCGCCAGGACUUGCUUCUGCUGUGUAAACAAUAAAUGCUUAUCAUCUAUCCCCUGCAUUAAAUCAAGUAAAAGCUUCAUGAACAAAAAUUAAAGCAUUCCCAAAGCGAGCAAAGUUGUGGCACCACAUGCCAGAGUUAGUUCCCAAAUAAAUUAUCAACACGAAAUGUAUGAUAUACUACUCAAAGAAUCCAUAACAAAAAGCUUAGUUUGACACAUGCACUAGAACUAUAAACUGAUAUGUGCUUUCAGACGAUGGAUAGGAGCUCCACGCCAUCAUCCUUGGGUUUCUAAGUUUGUAGAUCUGCUAGAAACAAAGGUUUUAUGCAAAUGUUGUGGUUUUUAUACUGACUGAUAAAAUUUGUUAUGUCAUCUGCAUCAUAUGGCGGUCCUUUUGUAUUGCAGAUUGCUUUCAUUCUUUGUGCCCAAAAGAAAAGGAAAAAAAAAAAUUAUCCCUUGAAUCAUCCAGUCAAGGAAUAAACUCACUAGUUUUUACAAACUAUAUAGAACAGCCCUCAAAUAUGUAGCUUUAUAUGUAGAAGGCUGGUGCUAAAUUGAAUAGCGUCCUACAGUGAAUAACAAUAUAAGUGCAACAUAAUGGUGUGCUUAAGUAAACACUUGAACAUUUAGUACUAGGAUCUAGAAAGAAAAAAAAAAGUGAUGCCAAAUUGAACAAGCAGCUAGCAAUGCAGAUCUUUGUAUUGGUAAGAGUAAUAUAAUUACAUUUGGUAAACUGCAAGCCAACAAACAUAACCAACUAAAAGCAUCAUCCAUCCGAAGUAGAUCAAGUCAUAAGGAAAACUAACCUGAUAAGAAGCAUGGCCAUGCAAAGAAGUCAAACAACUUUAAAGCCAGGCAAUUGCUGGAGCAUCUAUUUUACAUAAAUAAUGUCAUCAGGGUCAUCACCCUCCCAAUCUCUAUCAUCUUGAGGUGAAUCGGAUGAUUCAGAGAAUUCAUCAUCUUCAUCCAAGACGUUCUCCUUCGAAGCUUUAAUUCUAUCUAAUAUUGCAAUCACCCUGCUUCCUCUCUCCAGAGAUUCAUCUUCUAUAAAACGUAUCUCUGGACUCAGUCUCAACUUCAUACGCCUCCCUAACUCACUCCUAACAUACUUGGCUUUUGAUUUUAAACCAGCAAUAGCAACCUCCUUUCCUCUGUCAUCUCCAAAAACAGAUACAUACACUUUAACCACCUGCAAAUCAGCGGAGACUUCAACGUCGCUGAUGGUGGUAAGGGAAGACAGAUAUCUAUCAGCACCCAAAGCAGCCUCCGGCAGAACAGCGUACUGUAGCACCUUAUCUGUAAGAAGCAUAUCAGAAAGCUCUCUUUGAAUCUGCUUGGCCACCAUUUUCACUCUCCUGGGUUUGGCCAUACACGUAAUGGAGUUAAUUAACGGCUUUGGUCGAAGGUGAACUGGGGCAGUUGAUGUUGGGGUCCAAACAGGAAACAGGUUGAUGUUACGCUGAGAAUUGAGGAGAGGCUGGUGUGGCCGGAGAAGGAGAAGGCAAAGAUGAAUGUGGGGCAUUGCCGCAGCAGUUGGAUUCGCUGCUGCAAGUGCUUGUGCUUUCUGGUCCGUCCUUAUGGAUUCUAGAUGAUUUUCCAGAAUAUCCAGAGUAUAAAUCGAAGGGCAUUUUGGGAAUAAAUU
rnacentral:misc_RNA from 1 species